rnacentral:lncRNA from 1 species
AGCAGGGGUGCUGGAGGUUCGACUAGCCCAUCUCACACGGAUACCCAAGGGGUAAAGUCGGGCAGCUUCUGGCACUGCUGCUGCUGUUGCCACAGUCUUCCUUUGAGAGGUGGUGAGGUGAGGGUGUGUGAAGAAAAAUAGAGGGGAAUCAACAUCAGAAACGGAAGACCGUGAUCUUCACUUCCCCGCUGCUAUCUUCCCGGCCAGGGGUUCUCAAACUCGAGCACGUGUCAAAACCACCUGGACAACUUGUUGAAACACAGAUUCGAGAGCCUCACCCUCAGAAUUUCUGCAGUAGGACCCGCGAAUGUGUAUUUCUGACAAGCUCCCAGGGGAUGCUGAUGUUGCCGGUCCGGGGCCGGCUCUGAGAAGUGCCCUUCGAGUAAAACUAACAGGCAAGAAAUCCUCUGAGGGAAGACGAGAUUGGUCAAAGCCGAAGGACAGGUGCUAACAGUGAGUAUCGACUGCAAACCAGCAAAGUGCCAAAGGACCUUCAAGGAGAGCAAAUCAAUGGGCCAGAAGUGAUAAUUUUCUAGAAGUUCUGGGAGGAAGCACGAGCUUCUGAAGCACAGCCGUUCACCGCCUUGCACCCGGUCUGUGGCCCUUUGUUAUGGCAGCCCUAGUGAACUGACACAGCUCCCUCCCUGAAUCGGACUGGCCUGUGCUUACGGAGAUGGCAUUAUGACCCAGGCCACAUCAUAAAGGCUAUAGACCUUCCAUUGGGUCUCUUGGGAGACUGGUCAGCCACGCUGUGAAGAAGCCCCGGUCAUCUGAAAAGGUCACAUGCUGGUGUUCCAGCCCACAAUCCCAGGUGAUGGCUAAAAUUGAGGCGGUUAAACACGUAAAGACAACUCCAGAUGAUUCCUGUCUCCAGCCCUGGGUCACCCCAGCUUCAAAUUUGAGUCCCCAGAUAUUGUGGUGCAGAGAUGUAUCAACCUGUCUGUCCCUUGGGAAUUCCUGACUCACAGGAGUUGUGAGCCUAAGAAAAUGAUUGUUUUAAGCUGCUAAAUUUGGGGGUAAUUUGUUAUAUAGUAGCUGGCAACGAGUCUUUAAGAUUAUCUUUGUUCACAAAAUUUUAUCUGAUAUGGCUGGUGUUUUUGUUGAAACCAUGGGGUCCCUUAGCUCCUAGACAGUGGUCACCACUUCUCUUGGCCCUUUGUGACAUCAGGCUCAAACGUUCAUGAAGAACAACAGGUGACCCUGCCACGAGUCAAUUUAACGGACCGCUAGUGAAAGAGUUUCAGACAAACUGAACGGGACGGAGAGCAGUGGUUCAGGAGGGCGGACAGGAUUUUCAGAACAAUUUCCAAAGACGGUUAAGCGUUCAUUAGCAGGGUUAGCGCCAUUUGCCUGGAUCAGGGGAGGAAUCAUGUAGCCCCGUAGGCAGUACUUUUCUCAUUUGGGGCACAG